rnacentral:rRNA from 1 species
UACGUAGGGGGGCAAGCGUUGUCCGGAUUUACUGGGCGUAAAGAGCGUGUAGGCGGCCACGCAGGUCCGUUGUGAAAACUGGAGGCUCAACCUUCAGACGUCGACGGAAACCGUGUGGCUAGAGUCCGGAAGAGGAGAGUGGAAUUCCUGGUGUAGCGGUGAAAUGCGCAGAUAUCAGGAAGAACACCAAUGGCGAAGGCAGCUCUCUGGGACGGUACUGACGCUGAGACGCGAAAGCGUGGGGAGCGAACAGG